GGGAAACACCUGUCUAGAUCCCAAAAAGUACCUCUCUCUGGAUGGGAACAGUCUGAACACAGCUGAUCUGGUCCGUUUGGGGAAAGGCCUGUUCAACAUCAAGCUGACCUGCGAGGCUGAAGGGAAAGUCAAUGAAGACAGAGAAGUGAUAGAAACCAUCAUAAAAAAAAUCCGAAGUAUGUAUAGAUUAAUAGAAUAUAUAGCUAUAGAUUAAUAGAAUAUAUAGCUAUAGAUUAAUAGAAUAUAUAGCUAUAGAUUAAUAGAAUACAUAGCUAUAGAUU
rnacentral:lncRNA from 1 species